rnacentral:ncRNA from 1 species
UAUUUGGCGAAGAAAAGGAAGAGUAGCCGGUCGAAAGUCUGUAAAGAGAGCCGCCGUUUGGUGCGAGGCGGACAGGCGCGGCGGUGAAAAUCACCUUGGAGCCUCCUGCUGAAAGACGACGCGAGUAAGCGUGGACGUGUGACGGGCGUUAUUCCGUCAGCCUGUAAUGGCAGGCGUGAGUGGCCGCGCUCCGCAAGGGGACCGGCAAGAAGAGUGGUACCGCAGAGUGUUUUCAAACGCUUUGUCUCUGAG